AUAUUUUGCCUGCUCUUAACUUGUCAGAGCGUAUUUGGAAAUCGACUUUGGCCAUAAAAAUGCGAAAAAACAAUAAAGCAGGCUUGCUCUGGCGAAUGAAAACAAUUUAAGAAAUUGUGCCGGCUCAAACGCUCCAAGCAACAGCAGCAGCAGCAGCAGCUUAUAGCCCGGUCAGCCUCAGCCUCUCACCUCUGGCAACAUAUGAGCCAAAAUUUUUAUACAUAAAGCAGCUUAACUCUGACUGAUUACUUAUGGCAAAAUAUGUGCUUAGCAGUUGAGGGCAAUAGCCCGAAAUCCGAUUAGAAAAUGGCAAGUGCAGAGUGUUGUUGCGAGAACUGCGAAGAUUGAGGACUGAGGACUGAGCUUUGGCCCCAUUACGGCUACUUGACACUUGUCAAAGUAAAGCGGGUGGGUGUAAGCGGCGGCAAUUAAUGUCACUGCGGCGUGCUUAAAACACUUGUUGAAAGUUCGCUUGUAAUUUAUUAUGAUACGAUUUUGAAGAUGACCAGUUGCCCAGACACAGUCGUAAAAAGUCAUAAAUAAAGUUGUGUUGAUGAAGCCAAAGAAAUGUGUCAAGUGAACGAACGCGCAACUUUUCUUUACACUUUUAUUUAUGCGCUUAUUUACGCGCAUUUAAUAACAAUAUUGAAGGCA